rnacentral:rRNA from 1 species
AUUGAACGCUGGCGGAAUGCUUUACACAUGCAAGUCGAGCGGCAGCGCGGGGGCAACCCUGGCGGCGAGCGGCGAACGGGUGAGCAACACAUCGGAACGUGCCCUAUCGUGGGGGAUAGCUCGGCGAAAGCCGGAUUAAUACCGCAUAAGACCUGAGGGUGAAAGCGGGGGAUCGCAAGACCUCGCGCGAUUGGAGCGGCCGAUGUCGGAUUAGCUAGUUGGUGAGGUAAAGGCUCACCAAGGCGACGAUCCGUAGCUGGUCUGAGAGGACGACCAGCCACACUGGAACUGAGACACGGUCCAGACUCCUACGGGAGGCAGCAGUGGGGAAUUUUGGACAAUGGGGGAAACCCUGAUCCAGCCAUUCCGCGUGAGUGAAGAAGGCCUUCGGGUUGUAAAGCUCUUUCGGCAGGAACGAAACGGUGGAGGCUAAUACCUUCCAUCAAUGACGGUACCUGAAGAAGAAGCACCGGCUAACUACGUGCCAGCAGCCGCGGUAAUACGUAGGGUGCGAGCGUUAAUCGGAAUUACUGGGCGUAAAGCGUGCGCAGGCGGCUUUGUAAGACAGGUGUGAAAUCCCCGGGCUUAACCUGGGAACUGCGCUUGUGACUGCAAGGCUUGAGUGCGGCAGAGGGGGGUGGAAUUCCACGUGUAGCAGUGAAAUGCGUAGAGAUGUGGAGGAACACCGAUGGCGAAGGCAGCCCCCUGGGUCGACACUGACGCUCAUGCACGAAAGCGUGGGUAGCAAACAGGAUUAGAUACCCUGGUAGUCCACGCCCUAAACGAUGCCAACUAGGUGUUGGGGAAGGAGACUUCCUUAGUACCGUAGCUAACGCGUGAAGUUGGCCGCCUGGGGAGUACGGUCGCAAGAUUA